AUUGAACGCUGGCGGCAGGCUUAACACAUGCAAGUCGAGCGAGCGGAGGACGGGUGAGUAAUUUCUGGGAAACUGCCUGAUGGAGGGGGAUAACUACUGGAAACGGUAGCUAAUACCGCAUACCAUCAGAUGUGCCCAUAUGGGAUUAUCUAGUAGGUGGGGUAAUUGCUAACCUAGGCAACGAUCCCUAGCUGGUCUGCGAGGCUGACCGUCCACACUGGAACUGAGACACGGUCCAGACUCCUACGGGAGGCAGCAGUGGGGAAUAUUGCACAAUGGGCGAAAGCCUGUUGCAGCAAUGCCGCGUGUGUGAAGAAGGCCUUCGGGUUGUAAAGCACUUUCAGCGAUGAGGCGUUACUCGCAGAAGAAGCACCGGCUAACUCCGUGCCAGCCGCCGCGGUAAUAC
rnacentral:rRNA from 1 species